rnacentral:lncRNA from 1 species
AUGAACAGAAGACUGAGAAUGCUUACCUGCCUUCCCAUAGAAACACUGCUGUCCGUUAAAGCAGCAGUUGAUAGCUUCACACUCAGCACCACUGAUCCCAGGUUGUCCACAUUUGAUCUGCUCAUUAUCAGCUACAGCACAUUUAUCAAGGGGCUCUGCCUGCACCACUGGCUUCUGAAACUGCUGGCUAGUUUGUUGAGCUGGCUUCUGCGGCCAAAACUGCGGGCUAGUUUGUUGAGCUGGCUUCUGCGGCUGAAACUGCUGGUCAGUUUGCUGGAUCAUCAGGGCUUGAAGGUUCUGAGGCAGAUCACUCCACUGUGGAACAGCAUGACAGAAAGCACAAACUGCCAAAAUCUGAAACAACCACCAACUUCCAGCCAUUGUUCAACAGCUCAACACAAAGUGUGGAGAUGCUGGCCUUUGGUCUUUUAAUACUCUACAGGUUUCAGCUAAUUAAAGAUAGUCCCUCCCCCUUCAUUAACCCUCACGAUUCUCCAGACUUGCAUGAGUUGGAGCUUAUGCAACUGAGUGAUUCUCAUUGAUUCAAUUAUCCUUUUUACAUACAUUGAAACACAAACUUGUGCAUAAUUCAAAAUAGCAUAUUAGUAUGAUUUUCUGCCAUUUUGAAUUCAGCCUUGGUUUUAUCCUUCAUUAGCUGAAUCCAGCUGUUGAUGUCUUGACAAUUCUAGAUUGUUUCAUUCUUAGAAAAACAUCUUGGAAUGUACAGGCCUGUAUCUAAAGACUGGCUCAGAAGAAAGUUGAUUUAACAUACUCAUGAUUAUGUUGAAACUUUGAGUGAUACUUAAACCCUGUCCCAGCCAUAGCUGCUCUAUUCUUAAAUGUCGCAUUAUAAUUAAAAUACAGUCAUUCAUAUUAUAAAGUGCGCUUACAAUCUUGCACACACUGCAAUAUCAAUAUCCUUCGGUUAGAGGUGGAAAGUAACUAAUUAUAAAUACUUUCGUUACAGUACUUGAGUACAUUUAUACAUUUUUUUCUACUUUCUUGAGUAUAAUUUAAUUGUGGUAUUUUUACUUUUACUUGAGUAAAAUAAAAAGAAAGUAUUUGAAUUCGCUACAUUUACUAUUACAUUUACAUUUACUUUUCACCAAAAAUAUAUAUAUAUAAAAAAACAAAAACAAAACAAAAAAAAACGGCCAAAGGAGGCGCCGAUAGAGAAACGGAGCGAACCUGUGUUUGAUGGGCACUUUUCAUACUUCUGGGGUGGAGCCCUGCACUUCAGCCAAUCACAGACAGGUCUGACUCGGGUGCAAAACCAAUCAAAACCUCCAGUUCAGCUGGGGGGUUUAAACCACGCUAUGCUUUGACUGUCAAUCAGCAGCGUUGUAGUUUGAAAUCAGCAUCAUUAAUGUCUGUUUUCCUUUAAUAGGUCACUUCAAUGCUGCGGUGACACCACCGUAUGAGAACACCUCUUGGUGUGAUGAAUGUCUGCAGCCCUGUACCAUCCCGCCAAUCCUACUGGCCAAAUAGCGCUUGACACCGCCUUACGCAUGCAUAAGCAUAGUAUACCUGCGUGCUGCGCGUUUUUUCACUCAGAUUUCUUUCCUUCAGGAAAGCGAAUUUUCUGUGCCCUAGGAAAGCAUCUCGCAUUCUCAGCAACAAUUAUACGAGCAGUGUUCAACUCCUCUUCGUGGACGCGAUAAGUCACGGAAAGGUAAGGAGCCGUGUAACGUUGUGUGCCUGGGCCUGUAUCACGCAGGCGGCGCUUAGCGACCUCUCUACAUGUUCUCACUGUGAUAGCCUUCGGCUAAAGUUCUGCGCUCGGGAGUAGAAAUAUUCUCUAAGGUCGCCCCCGUGUCCAAGCCCUGCUGUAACGCUUCUGCAGUUGCCGAUGCGAUGGCUUGGGGGGACGUGUGCGACCUGGACAAUGAGGACAAGUGCUUCGCUGGAGUUUUCUCCACUUUGCUCACUCUGCCCCACUCGAGUGCAAUAAGUCAGCAGAAACUCUGUGGCGUUGCUUUUACAAAUGAUGUUUUGUCCACCACGACUUUGGACUCAGAGGACAUUCUGGCCAAUACAUGCGGUUCUCUCCCUCCGAGCGGACAGAAGAAAUGCUUCCUACAGUGAGCUGUUGGAUGUGGUUACCCGUGCGGUGGAUAAACUGGGGUUGAAUUGGGAGCAGCCCAGGCCCAAUCUCUAUCUAAACUGGAUGACCGUUUCUUAACUAGUCGUGCACCUGCCCAGCCCCGUAAGCCGCUGCCCUUCUUCCCAGACCUCCACCAGGAGGUUUCGAGGUCCUGGAAGCAGCCUUAUUCAACGCGCAUCACAAAUGCUGCGGCUGCAGAUUUCGCCACCAU